rnacentral:rRNA from 1 species
UACGAGGGGGGCGAGCGUUGCUCGGAAUCACUGGGCGUAAAGGGUGCGUAGGCGGGUCUUUAAGUCAGAGGUGAAAGCCUGGAGCUCAACUCCAGAACUGCCUUUGAUACUGAGGAUCUCGAGUUCGGGAGAGGUGAGUGGAACUGCGAGUGUAGAGGUGAAAUUCGUAGAUAUUCGCAAGAACACCAGUGGCGAAGGCGGCUCACUGGCCCGAUACUGACGCUGAGGCACGAAAGCGUGGGGAGCAAACAGG